CAAAUACUUGGUGCGAUUAUGAGAUAGAGACUUGUCGUCGGCAGUUCCUUUGAGCAGCACACUAAGCACGCCGGUUGCCUCCCUCCAAUUGUGUUGAAGGAGGAGUUUCUCCAACAGCCACCGCAGCUUUUUCCUGUGGAUGGACUGCAAACUUUCACCCAGGCCGUACUACAAGCUUCCAAUGACUUGCUCCGGGCGAUAGCUCUGCUUAUUGUUGGCCAAUAUGAUUUCAUUUGCUUUCCUCGCCUUCUUCACCGUGUCCUCGUCAUUUUCGUGAGGAUUUCUUGGCCCUCUUCGUCGGGGUUUCACUUUCUUGGCUUCCAUUGCUGUUUCUCCUAUCAUAUUCAAGGUAAACAAUUUGCGAAAUGAAAAUCUUGAAG
rnacentral:lncRNA from 1 species